GCAUGCGUCUGGCAACGGCGGCAGCGGGAGCCGCUGCGAGCGUAUGAGAGCCUUCGCCGCUCCUGUGUGGUCGGGAGCUCGCCGGCCUCCGGAGAGGCUCAAGCUCUGGCCUCCGCCACCGCCAUGUCCGCCAUUAUCGAACAGGAGUUUCAGGAGAUCGAUGCCACUAACGACUGGCAGGCGCGUUAUCUGGAAAUUCGACAUAAAUCCAGUGACUACCCUCACAGAGUUGCAAAAUACCCAGAAAACAGAAAUCGGAACAGAUACAGAGAUGUUAGUCCCUAUGAUCAUAGUCGUGUAAAGCUGCAGAACACAGAGAAUGACUAUAUCAAUGCCAGCCUAGUGGUCAUAGAAGAAGCCCAGAGAUACUACAUUUUAACGCAGGGUCCACUACCUAAUACAUGUUGUCAUUUUUGGCUAAUGGUAUGGCAGCAACAAACCAAAGCAGUUGUGAUGCUGAACAGAAUUGUUGAGAAAGAUUCGGUGAAGUGUGCACAGUACUGGCCAACAAAAGAAGAGGGUGUUAUGACGUUCAGUGAAACAGGUUUCCGUGUGAGGCUAGUAUCUGAAGACAUCAAAUCCUAUUACACAGUACAUCUACUGCAGUUAGAAAAUAUCAAUAGUGGUGAGUCCAGGAUGAUCUUUCAUUUUCAUUAUACGACGUGGCCAGACUUUGGAGUUCCUGAAUCCCCAGCUUCAUUCCUGAACUUCCUCUUCAAAGUCCGAGAAUCUGGGUCACUAAGUCCUGAGCAUGGACCUGCAGUCAUUCACUGCAGCGCAGGCAUAGGACGCUCUGGCACCUUUUCAUUAGUAGACACUUGUCUUGUUCUGAUGGAGAAAAAAGACCCAUUUUCUGUAGAUAUUAAGAAGGUAUUACUGGAUAUGAGAAAAUACCGAAUGGGACUUAUUCAAACUCCUGAUCAGCUAAGAUUUUCCUAUAUGGCUGUAAUAGAAGGAGCAAAAUUUAUAAUGGGAGAUUCCACUAUACAGAAACGGUGGAAAGAGCUUUCUAAAGAGGACCAAGCGCCAAGUUCUGAGCAGUCUCCUUCAAACCCAACCAAACUAACCACAGAGAAGUACAAUGGGAACAGCAUAGGCCUGGAGAACAAAGAUCAAAUGGAGAAAAUAAAUACUGACCUGAACUCCACUAAAGUUCAAGAUCUCACAGAUGGAAACAUUGAAAGUUCUGUCCGAAAACGACUGCGAGAGGAUAGAAAAGCCAACACAGCACAGAAGCUGCAGCAGAUGAAGCAGAAGCUAAAUGAGACUGAAAGAAAAAGAAAAAGGUGGUUAUAUUGGAAACCUAUUCUCAUUAAGAUUGGGUUUGGCACACUGAUUUUAGCUGGUAUUUAUUCUUGCUGGAAAAUGUACUUUCAAGAACAUUCCUUGUAAGUAAAGAGUAAGCCUGUCUGCUCCAGCAGCUGUUUUUGCUGCCAGUCAGUGACCAGGGGUGUGACUUCUAAGCAGUAAAUCCUUGCACCUGGAAUGGGUACAGACUGUUACAUACCAUAUAGAAGUGACUCACCUAAAACUUGAUCCCAUGUCAACAUCUCAGGACUUUCCACUGCAGGUACUUACAAAACUGAAACUGCUGCCCCCCCGCCAAACUGAUGGGUUCUUGUUUAUAUGGGCAGGUACAAACUUGCUGCAACUGUUUAUACACUUUUUAAAUGGUGUUCUCCCAGAUCUUAAGCAAACCCUGAACCGCAGAGGUUUAGCUCCUGAAGGCUGUCUGGAUUUAAAGUUAUUUGCCUGACAUAAGCAAUAAACAGUGUUGUAUCCUUUACAUUAUUAAUGAAAAGAAGUUAUCCUUCGAUGUCUGUAAUGUGUAAUGUACUAGUGACAUGAGCAUAAACAUUUUAUAUUCUUAUGACUCUAGGAUAAAUCUAUUUUAUAAUUGCAUAUUUAAUCUUUUUGUAGUUCACUGUACUUUUAAAAAGCUCAGUUUGUACAAAUUUCUGACCAAAAAAGAAUUUGAUUUUGAAACUAAAUGUAUUUAUGAUUUCUGCAUGAAAAUACCAGUGUGACCAUUCCCCAGAUCUUGACUCUCCAAGUUACAACAUGAGCAGCUAGGGGUCUAAUCAAGCACCCACCAAUUUCUACUCAGUUCAUUUGCAUUCCUUAUUUAUUUUUUUUGGUAGUUUUAUUUAAGUCAGGCUUGGAAUUUUUUUGGUUUUAAGGCUUUUGAGGACUUAGCUCCCACUUCAGAGCAUACUUAAUGUAUUCAGACUUCAACUACUGUUUGGAGGCCAACAUCUGUUAAAGUUCUGACAUUCCUUUAAAUGUGAAAGAGAAUGGUUUGUGUGUCUAGAGAUUCUAAUCGCCAGAAAGAAUACGAAGCCUUGGGCAGCAAUAGGGGUAGAAAGCACCUAAAAAGGGAACUGUAGGAAUUCUGAGACCGGUUUUUAUAGAAAACAAGUUGGUUGGUGGCACUCUCCUGUAUGUUCAGCUUUGUGAGCCACUCCUGGGGAGGUGGUGGAGUCACCAUCAUUGGAGGUGUUCAGGAGGAGACUUGAUAGCGUGAUUGGUUGCAUGGUUUAGUUGAUUAGGUGGUGUUGGAUGAUGGGUUGGAUGCGAUGAUCUCGAAGGUCUCUUCCAACCUGGUUUAUUCUAUUCUAUUCAAAAGGUCUUAGUAUUGCUGUUCAGGUUCCUCAGCGCUGUUAGAGGCAUGACAGUAAACCAGUCGAUGGCUGACACUUUGGCAAUACCUUUGAAACGGCACACUCCCUUUCCAUUCCAUGGGCCAUACCCUAGCUAAAUGGUAACUCAGCACAAGUCCUUUCAGCUCUCUUAGAGUACCAAGAUAGUAUGUGGCUGUGUGGAGCUUGCCGUUGCUCAGAUUGAGACCUACUGAUCUGUAGUGUUGGGCUGUGCUCCGACACCUGAAUUUUAUUUAUUCAAACAUCACCUUGCUGGGUGCCUUCAGAAGUUGUGUUCCCUCCCUGCAUUUUCCUAGCUUGGUUGGUUUCUUCUGGGUAUGAGGGUUUUUGGGGAAGGCUUUCUUUUUCUCCCCUUUUCUCCCCGCCUCCUUUUGUAAAACACUUGGAUCCAGUACUAAAAGAGCUGGAUAAUUACUUUGCUCCCUAUCCAAAAGCAUUAACUUGAAAAGCUUCCAGGAUGUUUUAGCUUAGUAGUAACAUAGCAGGCAUGGGGCCCAGAUAGCCCAACAUGUGCUACGCAAAGCUCAGCUUGAGUUUACUCUUUGAAAUUCUCAUUUCACAACAGUUUGGACUAUUUUGGACAGGGCUGCUUGGAUAGUAAACACACUUAGGGGGCUGGGGAAGGAAAACAAGCAUUCUUCCAGGCAGUUCUGAGUUUGGGAGAGCCUGCGUCAGUGAAACGGGACAGUUUGUCCUCUGGCCUUACCAACCUGCUCUGCAGCUCCACGAGCAAGAUGACUUGCUGCUGGCUGUGGCAUGCUGUCAGCAGGCAGCUUGCAGAUUUUGUCAUCAUUUUACACCCAUAACAACUUUUAGCCAAGAAGAGGCUUGGCAAAAGGUUACUAUCUUUUUUUUUUUCUUCCUUUGAAAUUAGGAAAACAGUUUGUUUGGGGUUUGUUUUGUUGGGUUUUGUUUCUUUUUCCCCAGCAUCAGCUGGAAAAUGUAGGUGUAAAUGUAGGUGCCUUAUAAAAGAUGAUAGGUAGGUUAUGGAAAAGCAGGCAAAAUGUAAUUAAAUAUUUUUAUAACAGAAGUAUUCUGGAUCUUAUUCUAAAUAAUUAAAAGCAGCUAUGGAAAAAGUGAGGGUGAAACCUUGACUGAGGGCACACCCUCAUUUAUCACCUGAUUUCCUGGUGGCCAAUGACUAGCUGUGGCUCAAGUUGUCACUUGAAUUCUUUUUUCCUGAUUCCAUCCUCCAAAUUUGGGCUCUUUUUGAUCCCUCUUUUCUGGGUGGAGCAGGGCACGAGAGCACCAUCUUUCAUCAUCUCACACUUCUUGAUGCAAUAAAGCAGGACUUGCACUCCCCACAGCUGGUCUGUAAGGAUGUGCUUUGGUUCUACCGUUGAAUCUAUCCCAGGAGUCUUGACUGUUAAUAAUCUAAGGACCAUGAAACAACCCAAGUCUUGGACAAAACUAUUUCGUGCAGUGACUUGUCCUCGACAGCAUGAGUGUAGGAAGGGAAAUUGGAUCCCUUAGUACAUUCCAGGAGAUAAUUUGGAUAUAACUCUUCUUGCUGGUCUGUCAGUAAUCCUUAAAACCCCCAAUGUGAGGGAGGCUCCUUCUCUUUACUGCAAACUGAACCCUUGUGGUACGUUGCUAUUCUGUAGGAUUAAAACUCGCAGCAGCUUUGUUUAACUUGGAUGCUAAGAACAAAUAGGGGCCAGAAUGAAGAAACCAUCAAUCCCAGUGACCUUUGUUACAGGAAACCCUUAAAGAAUAAAACUGAAGGACGUGCUUUCUGACCCCCUCCCCUGCUUCCCCAAUUUCUGGUGGUUCUUUGCUGUUUCUAAAAUGCCGCUGCACUCAAUUCAAAGCCUCGUGGUGCUGGGUUUUACCCUUUGUUCUUGGAAAUACAUCAGUCAAAAUAUUUGAUGCCUAAUGGGCCUCCUUGAACUGGAUUGAAAAAUGUUUGGUUUUCAGAUGAAUGUGAAUGUACAGACCAUGAAUGCUGUUAUACAAAAGUCACUAAGGAAUUUUGGAAGGGGUUUGUGAAUUCAGAAUGAGUCCACCAGGGUUUGUGUUUGUGAUGCAGGGACAGGACAGCCCUCCAAGAGUGACAGUACCUCAGUGUUUCUGACCAUUAUUUUCACUUAAAAGAAGUUAGUUCAGUGUGAAAACAGUAAUUUGAAAGAAAAUUAGAGAUUUAUUUUACCUAAGUGAGAUGCUGCAAGUGAAACUUAGCUUAUUUCCUUAAACCCUGAGUAAAAUGGUUUACUGACAUCACCUUAGAUCCCACUGAGAAGGGAAGAGUGUAACUAUUUGUUAGUGUGUGUGAUUGGGUUGUGCUGGUGACCAAAAAGCCUGGCUAGCUCCAAGUGUAAUGAGUGUUACCCACAUUGAGUUUGCUGUUUGACAUUGAGUUAAACCUGAGACACUUGAGGACUGCACGAGAAACUAAAUUAAUGGUGACAAAAGAAGUCUCUGCACGGCUAAGUGGCUUAAGUCAGAGGACAGAAUUUGCAAAGCUGCUGUAGUCUUCCUGGGCUUUGUUUUCCCCCCAGUGUUUUAGGUCAGUUCUUUGGUUUUAUGUAUGAAAAAUAAAUGUGUUCAAAACUGCAUCUCUGUCUGAGUCUUUAUUUAAAUUGGAAGGAUCAACACUUGGAAGAAUUUUCUUAGUGUGUCUUAACUGAUCAAAGCAAGCUGGUUUAUGAAUCAGAGUAGUGCUUGCAGAACUUAGAAGGGUUUUACUUGUAGCACUUUUUAAGUACCAAGUUCUUUCUCUCUUCUCAGAGCAGAGCUUUACCAUCCCUAAGAACACAAUGUCCAGUGUGGGGAUGUCUUCCUCACUGUGAACAGCCUGUGCCUCAAAAUGUUUAAUCUGUGCCAGGACUGGCCUCAAAGCUGUAAGAGGUGGAGUUCAGUGUUUUGAGGUGCAGCCUCCUGUAGUCCCACUAAGGCCUGAGCAGAGUUUUGCAGCGCUUGGGGCUAGACACACGAGUAGGUCGUAUGGUGGUCUGAGACCUGUACCUGAACUUCUCCAGCAAGUGUGUGCCUUAUGUUGCAAUAUGGAGGUGUGGCUUCCCGAGGGGGCUUGCUGCAGGGAGUGCAUGAGAAGCUGUUGGGUGUUAGAGCCGAGACUGACUGACACCUAAGCCUUCAAGACUUGUGAAUAUUCUGCAGCUAUAAACUGCAAAUUAAUGACAUGCAAAGUGAGACAUGAGCCCCUCUUCGGGAAUGAAGUGAGGUCUGUUAAGUACCAAGAAGACCUCAGUUAUCUGUUUACAGCGUAAACUGCGUCGAGGGGAUGAAGACCACCACCAGCAGCAGUGUGCUACUUUGCAAAACCAAACCCAUUUGCCAUCUUGUGUUUUUUUUAUACUGUGUAUUAAUGUAGAAAGAUGUAAAAGAAACAAUUUAGGAGAUAUUUUGUUUUGUACUGCCAUUCUUAUUGUAUUUUUAUACUUUUCUGGCAGCAUUAAAUAUUUUUUUAAAUGGACAAUAUGUUCUUGUGUGCACAUUAUGUUAGGGAGAAACUGUUAAGAACUUGUUGUGUGUGUGGGGGAGGGAAAAAAGGCAAGCAUUGUUUUUGCCUUAAGGUUUCCUGAUGUCAUAUGUGGAAAAUGGCAGAAUGAUUAGAAUGUGUUUUAUGCAAAGAUUUUCAUCAAUGCUAAGUAUUGUAGUCUGAGCUCGGAGGCACUCUUGCACGUUUCUCUUGUAAUACACCACUAAGAAUAUUAUUUUGUUAAUCUGAGGGGUUAGUUUGAGAAUCCUGCAGAUAUUUCCUAGAAAUUAUGCACAAGAUGUUCAGAGUCACUUUGUGAAGGGAAAGUGGUUUGUUGGUGAUGCUUCAAAGUAAGGAGACAUGGGAAAUGUGACCUCAUUCAUGGCACCUGAGGGCCAGGUGCAGAGCUCACACGGUCAAUGGUGUCUUUAAUUAAAAGGGUUUUGGAUUGUGCCAUCAUGGUGUGUUGUAUGUAUGACAUUUCACAUCUCCUGUUGGAGAGAAGCCUGACAAUCUGGACAGCAAAGGGGUGAACUGGAAUGCCACUUAGAGGGGUUCCAAUGGACUGCAGAGUUUCUAGCCCUGCACCUGCUGUGACAGAGCUGGUAGAAAUUCUGCACUUGCUGAUGUUCUCUGA